rnacentral:lncRNA from 1 species
UGUGUGAGCUGGCAUCCUAAUCAUCACCACAAUACAAUAUUUUUGACAAGUGGUCUUGUAGAAUAAAACAUCUAAUUUCUAUAAUAUAUAUAUAAAAAAAAAUGUUGGAUAUAAAACUUAUAAUAUAAUAUUGGUCUAGUACAACGAUCAUAAAAGAUUUUAAAUGAUAGAGACGUGAAAUAUAAAAAAAAAAAAAUGGAAUAAGCUUAGAUUUGGGAUAAAGAUUCAGGAUGGAUUUAUUGUGUUAUAAAACAAAUUAUAAUAUUAUAAAAGUCGAUUUAUGACACCGUAAAUUUGUCUAGAACUUUAACUUGAAAUUAAAAUUUUUUUAAAGUAUUGCGUAUGCAAUAAUGAGUAAACUUUAAAUACAUGAUGAAAAUUUAGAAUUAAGAUUUAGGAUAGAUUUAUGGUGUCAUAAAUCAAUUUAUAUCAUUAUAAAAAUUGAUUUGUGACGUUAUAAAUUCAUCUCAAACCUUAAUUCUCAACUUUAAUUUCGGAUUAGAAAAUUUUCGCUGUAAUAAUUAUUUAUUAAUUCAAUAAACCAAAUAGGUUUUUUUGAGGACUUUGACGAAGUUUUCUCAGAGUAUUGCAACUUAGGCUAGUGGUUGAAAAAUUGAAUUCAGUUAUUCACGUAACAUUUGUUUGGAUAAUGCCAAAUUAAUUGAUUUUGGGCCCGUUCAUAUAACAUUUUCAUUCUCUCUUUUAAGGAUACGACAGCCUGUAUGUGUUCGUAUCAAUGCUGGUUUUUUUUUUUUUUUUUUUUUAAAUGGGUGUGAAUAACAUGAAGGUCUUUCCAAUACUAGAUCAGGAUCAUCUUCCACAUCCAAUUAUAAUUCCCCGACUUCAAAAAUAUUCUAUCUUCUGGGUAAGAAAUUAAAAAUGAAAGUAAUUUCACCCUGGGUGUAGCUUGAUUGGUCGUGAAUAUAUUUUACGCCUAUGAUCACACAAGCUACUUAAUUUCUGGAACUAGAGGUUUUGAUAUGAUUUUUUUUUAUAAAUAUUUUCUAGAAUAAAUUAUGAAAGUUCUAUUAGCAAAAUAUUAUGAAAGCUCUUCUAGAAAUUGAUGGCAAAAGCUUUCUUGUUGUACUGCUAACUGCUCUGGCGGCUAUUAAUAGCAUCAUCUUGCAAGUAUCAGUCAAGAACUGUAGCUAGUUGUGUCUUGAUUUAAUAAAUCAUGAACCAAUUAAGGACUUAUAUAGCUCCUUUUAAAUUUAAUAGCUACGGUAUAUCCAAAAAAGAAAAAUUUAAUAGCUACGGAUUUCACACCAACGGGCAACACAACCACCUGCACAUGCAAUCCUCUUAAGCAAAAAUGAUUGCGGGAUAUUCCAUUAGAGGAGUAGACAAUAAUUUAGCUGAACUGUGCUUUAGGUGCACCGACUUAUAAUUUUCAGGCAAGCAUUUACUCGAAAAGCUGAUAAACCUCUUAUGAACUUUUAUUUGACUAUGGCAUUGGGGCCUUGCAGUAGUCGGUCCUGCUAUCAAAAUAAAGUUUGUGGAUGCAACGAGAAUCUGCAGAGAGCUGGAAUUAAUUUGAUUUUAUUUUUUGAGGACUGGUGCCGUUUGAAACCUUCAUCCGCAGCUAAAAGUCUUAAAAUCUCUAACACUCCACAAGAAACUAAAUUAAAGGAAGGGGACACUUCUUUGAUGUCUAUAUAUAUGUGUGUGUGUGUGUGUGUGUGCUUGCAUCAAAAAAUGAAUAUCGAAAUUUAUUUCCUUCAAUUGUAACAGAGAAAGGAAUUUAGAUGCCUCAGCUCUCGAGUCCGUACCAUUACCAAGAAUCCUUUGCUUUAUGUGCUGUGAAUAAGAAAACUUGUUCCGCAUUUAGAUUCCUCAAUCGGCAAAUGAUGAUAGUUAUGGUUUCGAAAAAUUUGUUCACAAGCUCAUCAGCGAAAGCUUGAAAGUACACAUAAAAAGGUUAUGAUCAGAGCACUGAUUUAUGAAUGCAUGCAAGGGUCGGACUUGUGCAGGCACAAUAUGCAAAAGUAAAAAUUACUUGAAAAUGGUUACCAUCUUCAAGCUUUCUGAGCAGGUAUUCAUAAAUCAUGAACAAACUCAUGCUGUAUCUUGAUUACAAGUAAAAUAACGCACCCUUUUGUUUUCAUCCACAUCAGCUUUAGUCACCACUGAAAUCUUGUUAACUUCAACUGAAGUUUGAUCGAUGCCCUCAAUCCAAUUCCUAAUAUCUGAACAUGGUAAUUAAGAAGCAAAUUUUAUUUUUUAAGUAAUAAAUUUUUUUUAAAAAAAAAGAACGGGAUAAAGUUUUUGCAGAUUCUUUAUCAUCCUCUCAAAUGAAACAAGGCCAUCUUCAGUAAAACACAAAAUGUAAAGCAAAACGAUUCGGGGAAGAAACUAAAUGGCGACAGAAUUAAAUCUUUUUAUUAACAUGUAGCCAGUUGGCUACUGAAUUUGAUCCGUGAAGAUAAGAGAAUUAUCAUGAGGAUUAGUGUUGAAGCAUGAUUCAUCCAUUACGUCGUGCAUACGCCAUUAAAAUUCUCAUGAUAGUAAGCUGUUAUAAGAAGAUAAGAAAAUAGAAAGUCUCUUGGAAGGAACAAAAAAAAAAAUGAACCACAAAUAGAUGUGAAAAACAAUAUUUCAGCUAUAUAUACAUAAUAAGAACUAAUAAGAAACUAAUACAUAUAAAUGAUGCUACUAAAAUAUUAGUAAGACCAAAAGAUGAGAUUAUAUAUUCACCACCAACAUGCACAAAUUACACAUUUUAUUAUUAUUACUUCAUGGUGUUUAAAUUAUAUAUAAAGUACGUUUGAGAGUGACGUGAGAUAAUUGGACUGCCACAGUCUAGCUGUCAAGGUGUUUGGUUACACCUUACAACUGAACUUUGACAGCUUAACAUUUUACAAAUUUAAAAUUUUAUUCUUAAAUUAUAACUUUUAUUUUACGGCAGCUGCAUCUUAAAAAUUAUAAUUCCUUACUUCCAAACGGAACCAUGCACACCCAAACCAAUGGUGCAGAUAAAAGUGGUGCUGUAGAAAUUAUCACAGAAACCCGAAUCCGAAAGAAAGGCAACCUGCCCAUGCAAACGAUAGGAUUGUUUGUUAACAAUUCAACAGCUACAACCUAAAGCUAGUUAAGAGAAGUAGCAUUGACUAAUUAAUGCACCAUAAUUAUUAAUACACCUGACGUGUGAGACAAAAGCAAAAAUUAUGUUAAUUAUUGAUUAUGCCCUCUGCCUUCGCUCUAGUCUUACGUACUUAUUAAUGGAUAACAUUUAAAGUUUAAAUUAGGCAAUAACAAUUAAAGAAAACGUAACCCUUUGUAGACUCUUCUCUACAACAGUGAGAUCGAGUGAGUUUUGGACCAAAUGAAUGAAAUACAGAUAGAUCUGCAGAUAGAUACAGUGGCCUGUGCCCGCUUCACAAUGAAAAAUCCCAAUGCAAGGUGAGUUUUUUUUUUUUUUUUCCUGAGUCUUAUUAAUUUACGUAGUGCACUUGAUAAUUUAUGAUCUCUUCGCUACUCGUCGGUCGCCCUCAUUCAUUCUACUCCAUAAAAUACGGACAUAUUACUAAUCAUAAUGCCCCACAUGACAUGUUUAUUGGUCUACAAACUCACAUUUUUUCUUUAAAAUAAUGGUUAAUUACCAGCGUGUCAACUGUCAAGUACUCUCAAAUGCAAGUUGCCCGCUGAAUGUUUAAGCUACUAUAUUAAGAAAUAAAGUAUAAAUUUGUCAAUAAAUCAUGCGGAGAAGAGUUGUAAAAUGUUUGCUCCAAUUCACAAUUAGAUCCCUAAUGUUUUAAAACCUUCAUCAUUUUGGAAAUGACCAUUAAUUUUGAAUUGACCUCCUUUUAUUAGUAAAUUAAUUUCGUGUAUUUGAAUGGACGACAUUUUUUUUUUAUAUUAAACCAUCUAGUAUCCGAAAAUUAUAUUAGAUUUCGACUAAUUCAGAUUCGAGCCGGGUAGGACCACUGGGGCAGCAAAACUCUCCCAACAAGUAUUUAACGCAGCUGCAUUCCCAAGUUUCGAAUUGAGGAUCUUAGUUAAGCCAGAACAAUCUCUUGCCAAUUGAUCUACGCGCUUGUUGAUGAAUUAUAACGACAUUAAUACGAUGAAGUGCUCGCCAAAAUUAAAAUAUUAUAAUUUCCUUAUUUCAACUCAAAUCUAUACACGAAAUUCAAUAACAAAGAUACCUAGAUGUUCCUCUUCUGAAAUAGUAGAAAAGCUCUCAAUUUUUCAAACAGAAAUAAAGUAUAACUGUCCAUUAUACCAGACAAAGCUCUCAAUUUUUCAAAUAGAAAUAAAGUAUAACUGUCCAUUAUACCAGACAAACAUUAGUAGUUUGGGUCAUUGGGUGUAUGGGGAAGGCUAUACAAGUCCAAAAUACAAUGACAAGGCAAAAAAAAAAAAAAAAAAAAUUAAAAAAAAAAUACGGGAGCAACAGGCCAAUAGACUAAAAAGUGCAACUAGCUUGGAAUUCCUACUUUACAUGCAUUCUUUCACCAUUAUAAUCAUAAAAAUAACAAAAAGUUGAUUGAAAAAAUAAUGGCAUGGGCCAGCAACUUAAUGCUUCAAGCAUAUGCCAGGAAGAUCCUCUCCCCAGUAACCUAAUUAACCCAGUUAGCUUUUCCUUGUUUUCCCUUUAAAGCUGAGAAACCUCUCUUUCACUCUUCUCUUUGAUAAAUCUAGGCGCUGGCCAGCAGCGAUUCAAUGUGAUGUUUCUAAUGGCAUCAACGAGUACUACUCACGCCGGAGGCGAGAUAAAUGGUGAUGAGGGGAGUGAUCAGGAUGAUGAUCGUGUCCUAAUUCCUGACAGUUGAAGUUUUGUCGUGUCUUUGAUCAGAUGGGCAACUUUGGAACCUUUGGCAGUACUUCUCGGAUGAGAUGCUUUACGGCUCAGGCAUGCAUAUCCACACCAGUUAAGCUGUUUUUGUAGGAUCUGAAAGGUUUGUAAAAAUUAAAAUUAAUAAGAAAAAAAAUACUUUUUCAUUAUGUAAUACGUAUCGAGCUUGGAUGAAAUGUUAUUGAUGCUCAAGCGAGCUAUUGAUUUCAAAGUUUUUUCGUUGUUUUACUUUGUAUGUUAUUGUGAUUUAAAUGUGUUUCGUUGCUUUCUAUCCUGUACGUGCUAUUCACUUAUUUGCCAUGAAACUAGCC